rnacentral:ribozyme from 1 species
ACUGCUCUAAUAGUCACACACCUCUACGCGGUGAGCAGCAGGCAACAAUCUUAUGAUUGGCUGAGAUGUGAAG